GUCCUCCGGUGGCCCAUUUAUAACUAAAGUAUCUCCUGGUGUUUUAUGCCAUCUUGUUGUUAUCUUCAAGUAAUUCAGACUGCAGGGCCCAUCCAAGUCUCUGGAAGCCUCUGGAUCCCAUGGGGCUGUUUCUGCCCUGCCUGCUGUGCUGCAUUUGGGAGGGCUGAGUGAAGGAGAUGACUGUGCAGCCCCUUCCCAAAGCCAUUCCCUGUGCCCUGGCUUGUGUCUCUGAACAGUGGGAGAGGGCUCCUAAGCUCUGUCCCUACGCUGGAUCAACUCCAGCUCUUUCUCCAGCAAGCCCAUAACCCUUCCACACCUUGUUUUUCUUUCACUUGCAGGGAGUCUGGAUUCCCACCUUCGGCUCCUUUGACAUCAUCUCCAGAGAAAUCACGACUGCAAACGUGACUCUGCAGUGGCCCGUGUUUCAGCUGGCUACAAACCUCGUAGCCAUGCACGGCCUCCAGUCCCACGGGGAGUCCCUGCCAGCCUACAGGAAGCUGGAGCCCCUGAAGCGCAGCCAGGUGGCCGCAGAUGCCUCUCUGAGCUGGCACAUAGUGCAGGCUAGCAUCCAGAACACUGUGUUCCUGAUAUCCAGCUGCCUGAAAAUUGGGGAGAAAGUUGCCAUUGUCCUGAAGGACAUUGGAGUGAUCUUCAUUGAUGGAAUGACCUUCCAAAUGAAGUUCUACUAUGACUUCCUCCAGAAGCUGUCAGGGAAAGAGAACCUCAGAAAAGCUGUUCUCAAGGCCCCCUGGCUGAUGAAGAUGGUGAUGUCCCGGGUGGCACCAGUGGCCUCCCUGUCACCCUCUGGGCUGCCUCGUUGUCUUUCCAGAGUUUCAAAUGGAGUUGGUGCCCAAACCACCAUCCUUGCCACGCCGCAAGUCCUCAGGAAGCUUCCCUGCUGAGAGGAAACUUAAGGAAGGGGACACUUUGCCACCUCUUGCCCAGGGGCAAGAGAGGUAAAACAGCUUGCAACUUCUUUCCGCGGCACGGGCAACCAUCUUGAGAUGGGAAUUCCCUCGCUGGCCAUCAGCCAAAGGCAGUGACUUGCGUUGAGGCUUCACGCCAGCUGAGCGCAGCCUCAUCUCAUGAGGAACUGUAGGCCUUGCCAAAACUAAGAUGCUGUGUGUGAUGUGCUCCCAUCCCUGGCUGUGGCAGGAGGAUGUCGGGAUCUUAGGCCCUGCCCUCCCCCAGUGGAAGGACCCGGUCCCCAAAAGUCACCCUGUCAGCUCAUUAUCACCACCCAGCUCUGCUUUCCCAAAGACAACAUUGCUAACGCAGUCCCAGAACAGAGCUGAAUUGCGGAGAGGAGGAGUGGGGCCAGAGAUGGUUUCAGGGAGGCUCUGAGGGCAGUGCAGAUGGCAGCAGUGGGGGGAGCAGAGCGGCCCUCUUGGAUGUUUUGGCAACAGGCCGGAGCACCCCUUGUGAGUGAACCAAAGGGUUUACGAUGAAUCUCCUCUGUCUUCCUAAUUCCAGGGAGAUCUGCUGGACGGCCAACCUACGUCAGGUGCUUGAGCGCUACAAGUGUAGAUGGAGAGCACUUAAGGCGGAUAAGGUACCUCCUGCAGAAGGAGAGCUCUAAGUCCAGGUGAGGCCAGAGGCUCUGGGUUGGGAUGUGCAUGGGGGGUAGUUUACUGAGCCAACGAG
rnacentral:lncRNA from 1 species